rnacentral:misc_RNA from 1 species
UCCGGUUUGUCACCGGCAGUCUCAUUAGAGUGCCCAACUGAAUGUAGCAACUAAUGACAAGGGUUGCGCUCGUUGCGGGACUUAACCCAACAUCUCACGACACGAGCUGACGACAGCCAUGCAGCACCUGUGUGCAGGUCUCCGAAGAGAAGGCUACCGUCUCCGAUAGCCGCCCUGCCAUGUCAAGGGCUGGUAAGGUUCUUCGCGUUGCUUCGAAUUAAUCCACAUAAUCCACCGCUUGUGCGGGUCCCCGACAAUUCCUUUGAGUUUUAACCUUGCGGCCGUACUCCCCAGGCGGUCAACUUCACGCGUUAGCUUCGUUACCAAGGAAUUGCUUCCCCGACAACCAGUUGACAUAGUUUAGGGCGUGGACUAC